rnacentral:lncRNA from 1 species
CAAUUACACCUUCUGCACCACAAAGUAGACCUGUGUCCACGGAUCUGUUUCCAAGUCACAACCAGUUUCCUGGGCCCAUGCUGAUUCUCAGAGUGGUCACCAGCUUAGCCAGAGAGGCAAGGAAAGCCCUUUAGGGACUGGAGAAGCCCUCAGAUAAAUGCCAGUGAUAUACAACCAUAUCUGGAAACCGUAGGCAUUGAAUUAACAAGCAGUGAAAGCCAGCUGUUACAGAGCCGAGUUCCAGCAGAUGGUAAGCACUUCA